CCUACGGGUGGCUGCAGUGAGGAAUAUUGGUCAAUGGGCGUAAGCCUGAACCAGCCAUCCCGCGUGAAGGAAGAAGGCGCUAUGCGUCGUAAACUUCUUUUCCAGAGGAAUAAAAUUUCGUACGUGUACGGAACUGAAGGUACUUUGGGAAUAAGCAUCGGCUAACUCCGUGCCAGCAGCCGCGGUAAUACGGAGGAUGCGAGCGUUAUCCGGAUUUAUUGGGUUUUAAGGGUACGUAGACGUCUUAAUUGAAAACCGUCAGCUUAACUGGAGAACUGCCAUUGAUACUGUUAGUCUUGAGUACGGUCAAGGUAGGCGGAAUGUGUAAUGUAGCGGUGAAAUGCUUAGAUAUUACACAGAACACCGAUUGCGAAGGCAGCUUACUGGGCCAUUACUGACGCUGAUGCACGAAAGCGUGGGGAGCGAACAGGAUUAGAUACCAGGGUAGUC
rnacentral:rRNA from 1 species